UUUAUUUUGGUGGCCCUAGUGCUCUUCCGUAAAUUGGCUGCCCUGUACUCCUGCAUGUUUGCUUUUCCCGCCAGGCCCAGCUACCCUUUCCGCUCAUUGGUUGGCUGGCGGCAGGCAAUCCUAGUAACCAAUCAGCUGUCGCUCCGCUGGGGUCGGAUCCCAGCCUCCUUUUCGCUGCGCUGGAAUUGAUGGCCAGUGUCGUCUGACGCGAUUAGAAAUUAGGAGUGGCGUCAGAGUCGCAGAGGCGAUGUGUGAGGCCCCUAUAGGCCUUGGCGUUCUGCCGGUAGCAGAGUAAAAGAGAAAAAGACUAAGUACCUCACCAGCCAAGAGCCGCAUAGAAACGUCGUCGCAGACUGGUACCAACUGAAAAGAAGAGCUUUUUAAAGUAUCAUUGCUGGGCGGGUGGCCAUGGGUCAAUCCCUGAGGCAGGUGCAAGUGAGCUGUGUAUAUAGGUGCAGCACUGAAAGGGAACCCUGGGAGUUCCAGAUCCACAAGCUUCACACACUUGCCGUCUCUUGAGCAAACCCUACAGCAGGAUUUAUGAAAGCAGAGCAGUCAUCUCUUUGUGCAGAUGACAAUCAAAGAUUGAUCCAAGGUCAUAUGUAGCUUACACCAAGGACAAAUGUACCUUGCAACUGCAAGUCAAGAAGAGUUAUGUACAAACAAGGUGAGUAUUUCAUGAAAUUGCCUUUUAAGUAAAUGCAGGGGCCAUUCAAAACAUUUUCCUUCUGUCAACAUUGAAUUGCCCCAUGUGCCUUUUCUUUGAGGGGGGGGGGGAUCAGAGUAAAGGCCCUUAGGGUG